UAGAAUAUGCACAACCAGAUAAAAAUAAUUCUCACUUCUCAAAGUGUUUGUCCUCACUUGACAGUAGAAUUGUCUAAGAACUUCAUCAGCUUUUGCAUUUCAUUUGAUUCACACACUUCACACACUAUUGGUUAAGUCCAAAGGUCUUUUUAGGAUAAGGCAUGGCUUGGCUAGAAAAAGAAUAAUGGUUUUUCUCGGAUUGAAAGAGACACCUAAAGAAGAGAACAGUUUCACUUCACAUUUCAGUACUCAAAUCCUCAGCAUAUGUCAUUCAUUACAACCAUUCUCUUUUAUCAUUCAACCUUCUUUCUCAAUUUGAUACCUCCCUUUUUUUUUUAUUUUGAACAUUUCUUCCCCCA
rnacentral:lncRNA from 1 species